UACGUAGGCAGCAAGCGUUGUUCGGAAUUACUGGGCGUAAAGAGUGUGUAGGCGGUGCUCUAAGUUCGGUGUGGAAUCUCCCGGCUCAACUGGGAGGGUGCGCCGAAAACUGGGGUGCUGGAGCGCGGGAGAGGAAAGCGGAAUUCCUGGUGUAGCGGUGAAAUGCGUAGAUAUCAGGAGGAACACCGGCGGUGUAGACGGCUUUCUGGACCGUAGCUGACGCUGAGACACGAAAGCGUGGGUAGCAAACAGG
rnacentral:rRNA from 1 species